UACGUAGGGGGCGAGCGUUAUCCGGAGUUACUGGGCGUAAAGCGCACGCAGGCGGUGCUGCAAGUUUAGGGUUACAGCUCCCGGCUUAACUGGGAGAGCGCCUUGAAGACUGCAGGACUUGAGGGCCAAAGAGGGACACAGAAUUCCGGGUGUAGUGGUGAAAUGCGUAGAUAUCCGGAGGAAUACCAAAGGCGAAGGCAGUGUCCUGGGUGGUACCUGACGCUCAGGUGCGAAAGCUAGGGGAGCGAACGG
rnacentral:rRNA from 1 species